rnacentral:misc_RNA from 1 species
GAUGAAGAACGUAGCGAAAUGCGAUACGUAAUGUGAAUUGCAGAAUUCAGUGAAUCAUCGAAUCUUUGAACGCAUAUUGCGCUCUCUGGUAUUCCGGAGAGCAUGCUUGUUUGAGUAUCAGUAAACACCUCAACUCCCUUUUCUUUUUUGAAAUGGGAGCUGGACUUGAGUGAUCCCAACACUUUUCUCACUGGAAAGUGGCGGGUCACUUGAAAUGCAGGUGCAGCUGGACUUUUCUCUGAGCUAUAAGCAUAUCUAUUUAGUCUGCCUAAAAAACAGAUUAUUACCUUUGCUGCAGCUAACAUAAAGGAGAUGAGUUCUUGUGCUGACUGAUGCAGGAUUCACAGAGACAGCUUUGCGGCUGACUUUGUAAACUCGAUCUCAAAUCAAGUAAGACUACCCGCUGAACUUAAGCACAUCAAUAAGCGGAGGA